rnacentral:rRNA from 1 species
UGCAACAGAGCAGGUAUCAGGCUCAACAACGUUAGCCAACCACACCUUGCUAAGCCACAUCCCCACGGAAAACGCAGCAGUGACCAACAUUAGGCAAUAAGCACACCAAGCUUGACCUAGCCAAAACUUCCACUGGUCGGCAAAUCUCGUGCCAGCAGCCGCGGUUACACGGGAGACCAAAGAUAAUACACCAACGGCGUAAAGAGUGACCACAGAUUUCUACCUGCCACCAGAUCCCGAAAUCCUCCCUCAGAGAUGAAAUCCCAAGCCAUCUAGAACUCCUAGGCAUCCCACCAUCAGGCCAUCCAACUCACGAAAACCAGGACACAAACUAGGAUU